rnacentral:lncRNA from 1 species
UAAAAAGACAAGAAGAGAAGCUGCAUUUGAAGAUAGCACAUCAGGUACUGAAACUGACAGUUGUAAUGUUUUACAGGUACCUAAAAAUGAAGAGGUUGAUAAAGGCGGAACAAUCCACUCAGAAGAUACAUCACAUCUACGUGGUUCACAGGUAAGAUUCAAGAAUAAAAAGUGGAUUGUGAACAAGAUUAAAGAAGAUGGAGUAGUGGAGAGUAGAAGACCAUUCUCCAAAGCCAUCAGAAGAGUGGAC